CAAUAUAGAAGAAUGCUCUAGAGAAUUUCAGCUUGAAUUCUUGUCAGCUUGGGAGUGUGCUUCUUAGAAUGCUGACAUGUCAAAUGGAGACUUCAUAUCCUUAGAAAAAAACCUUUUUGAUCCCUGAGUAUUGACAGCCACAUUAAAUAUUACUUUUCAUAAAUGAGCCAGAGUGCAUCCUGAUCCCACCUUGGUGUUCCUCUGGUACCUUCAUCUUUCUUCAUCCCUUUCUUUUUCCUCACUAGUCAGCUACUGGAAUAUGGUCCAGAGAAAUCACUCCUGUUCAGUUAGCAAUGCUCUCAGAUUACUAAUUGUAAAACAAAUGUAAUGCCGGCUGCCUUCCUUUCCCUUUACUUUUCUUGGAUAGGAAUUAUCCUCUAACUGAAAUAGUCUUUUUCCUUCUUUUCCCAGCCAUUCCUCAUGUUCAUUGAAUCCACUUAGAGUGGGAGUACAGUGACCCCCUGCACUGGUCCAGCAGCCAGUUCUCUUCAGUGCUCCAUUGCCUUAAUUGACCAGAUGUCAUGGUUUAACUCCAGCCAGCAACCAAGCACCACGCAGCUGCUUGCUCCCUCUGAACUUCAGCUCAGGUUCAGACCAAUGUUCCAGCCUGUCCAGUGCAGCAGCACAAAACCAGCAGGAGCACCCUGGCCACCUGCCAGCCCAAGCUGGCAAACAUCACCAUGGCUGUUAUCAAGAUGUUCCCAGGCACAAUUCAAUAAGGUGAAGUGGAUCGCUUAAUCUGUGAUACUGUCCUGGCGUACUGCAUUCACUUUUGGAGUCCUCAGCACAGGAGAGACAUGGACUUAUUGGAGGGGCUACAGAGGAAGGCCACAAAAAAGAACAAAGCAAUGAGACAGCUCUGACAGAGCUGGGGUUGUUCAGCCUGGAGAAGAAAAGGCUCCAGGAAGUCCUUUCAAUACUUAAAAGAGGCUUAUAAGCAAGACUAGAACAGUUUUUUGUUUUUUGUUUUUUGUUUUUUUUAAUAGGGUCAGCAGUAAUAGGACAAGGUCUCAUUGUUUUAAAAUAAAAGAGGAUAGAUUCAGAGUAGAUAUAAGGAAGAAAUAUUUUACAAUGAAAGUGGUGAAAAACAGGAACAGGUUUCCCAGAAGGGUGUUAGGUGCUCCAUCCCUGGAAACAUUAAAGAUUAGGUUGGACAGGGCUCUCAGCAGCCUGGUCUAGUUGAAGAGAUCUCAUUGCAGGUUUUGACUUGAUGAUCUUUAAAGGUUCCUUCUAACCCAAACUAUUAUAUUUCAAAUUACUUUGAGAUCUCUUGCUUAAUGGGAAUGGCUUGGUUUUAAAAAAAAUCAAUAAACAAAAGACCAAGAAACCAACCCAUUCUUCCUUAUUGGGAGGACUGUUAGUUGACGUGGAACAGAAUCUCUUGCAGAGAGGCAGACUGAAGGAGCACUUAUUUUUGGCACCUAGAGUUAAAGAUAAGUGAAUAGCAACCAGGUAAAGAGGUGCCAGCUUCUUCAAUAGCCUCUAAUUGCCUGCAGCCACCGUGCAGGAAGGGUUGAGCCUUUAGGUGAGUGGCUGCAUGAGGCUGUUAAAGAGGGCAAGAGGGCAAGCACAAUGGAGCUUGGCUCUGCAACCUAGCAGAUAGGGUGCUCAUCUGGGAGGUGAAAAUGACUGAUUAGGCUUCUGAAUCAAGAUGAAGGCUUUUAUCUGAAACCGCUACUGCCUCCACUAGCAAAAUAAUUCAGUGUAGAUGGUUCAGAGUCUUCCUAGUGAUUCUCUAGUGAUUAGAUGGGUAGAUAAUAGAGAACAUCAUUAUGGUGAGCAAUUUAUUACCUCUGGCUAAAGGCUGAAAAUGUGUCACCAUUUUCAGUGCCCACAAAGCUAAAUGAAAUGAAUGUCAUCAGUGCUGUGUUUUGAAAUAAUCUACAUGUGUUGGUUGUGCUCUGGGCCUGUUAGACCAGAUUGAAUUCACAGGAGUACUUAGUGUGUCUCUGAAAUCUCAUAGGUCUGCUAGAACAGGAUGCUUACUUUUUCAGUGCACAGAACUAUUUGAUGAGAACAGGAUGGCAACAACAGGAGUUCAGGGUUCUAAAUUUAAGAUAGAGGUAUCUUGUCAGUUCACAUUCUGGUCUUCUGUGUGAACAAGUUUUGGGGUCUUUUUUGUUGGUUUGGUUUUAUUUUUUAGUUAAAUUUGUUUGUUAAGUUUCAAACACUCACUGAAAUCCUGAGGUAGUUCUUGAAAUCUUUAUUUGGAUAUAAUCCAUAUUGCCUUCCUGUUGACAGUGGUAGAUGAACAUGCUUUGUAAGAUGUUUUUAAUCAGAGAACAAAAAUAAUCUUUAUUGGAGUGCAGCUUACAGUACAGAAAAUAAAAGGUACUAUUGCAUGCUGGCAUCUACACCAUAGUUUCACCUAUUUAGUAAUUCUUUUCUGCUUCCAUUAAUAAUAUAGUUUGGAACCUUAUUUCAACUUUCCAGUUUUCACAGAAUUCUGUUGACAAAUUUUAAGUUCCUGCUUGAACAGGGAAGUUGAAUCAGAUGAUCUCUGUAGGUCUUUUCCAACACAAACCAUUCCAUGAUUCUAUGAAAACUUGCAUUUCUCACAACUUUUGCUGGCAUGCCAAUUAGUCAUGCCUGCAGGGAAGUAUCACACAGGCAGAUGGAAGUGUCACCAAUAGUCUUUCUCAUGGGCUGUUGUUCACCUUUUCCCUGUGUUGGUGAUUGUGCUGUAAAGAAUUAUUAAUAAAUACUGGAGCUCUACUCUGAA